UGACAGCACUUGGAGGAUGUAUAGCGAAAGCUUAUUGUAUUAGCUGGCAUUGGUUAAUACAAUAUCGACUCUGUCGACUAAAAUUCUAGGUAAAAUAAUGAUAAUGACAUUUUUUAUCUAUGUGUCUUGACCAAGUCACGUGCCAGCAGUCGCGGUAAUACGUGGAAGACUAGUGUUAUUCAUCUUUAAUAGGUUUAAAGGGUACCCAGACGGAAUAUUUAGCCCUCAAAGGGUACUAAAUAUUCUAGAGUUUAAUGUGAGAUGGAGUUAAUAGUACUAACGGAGUAGAGAUGAAAUUCGUUAAUACCGGUAGGGAACUGGCAGCGGCGAAAGCAACCCUUUAUGUAAAAACUGACGUUGAAGGACGAAGGCUAGUGUAACCAAAAGGACUAGUUACCCAAGCAGUACUAGCAGACAACGCUGAAUGCCAUAGAUUAGAGAUUAACUUUAUUUCUUCUAUAAAUGAAAGUGUAAGCAUUCCACCUCAAGAGUAAUUUGGCAACAUUGGAAUUGAAAUCAUUAGACCGUUUCUGAAACCAGUAGUGAAGUAUGUUGUAUAACUAGAUGUUACACAAAAAACCUUACCACAAUUUGAAUAUUUUAUAAUUAGACAAGAGUUGCACGGCUGUCUUUAGUUAAUGUCGUGAGAUUGUGGUUAGUUCCAUUAAAUUAACGUAAACCCUUACUUUAUUUUUAUAUAAAGUAGUUCCCCGCUAUAUAGGAUAUGAUAGAAGGGACUAAGGCAAGUCAUCAUGGCCUGAAUAUUGUGGGCUACAGACGUGCCACAUAAGCCUAUACAAAGGGAUGCGAAAUUGCGAAAUGAGC
rnacentral:rRNA from 1 species